GACAGAGGAUGCAAGCGUUAUCCGGAAUGAUUGGGCGUAAAGCGUCUGUAGGUGGCUUUUAAGUCCGCCGUCAAAUCCCAGGCGUCAACCCUGGACAGGCGGUGGAAACUACCAAGCUGGAGUACGGUAGGGGCAGAGGGAAUUUCCGGUGGAGCGGUGAAAUGCGUAGAGAUCGGAAAGAACACCAACGGCGAAAGACUCUGCUGGGCCGACACUGACACUGAGAGACGAAAGCUAGGGGAGCGAAUGGGAAUUAGAACCGUACGGACGAA
rnacentral:rRNA from 1 species